ensembl:snRNA
GUGUUGUACCAAAGGAAAGGUAGCAACUCCACUUGAUAAAGACAGAAGAGGCUCUAGGGCCUGACAACAUGUAUAUGGUUAAGGCACUGCCACCUACUUCACUGUAUCUAACCAUCAAGUUUU